ACCUGCAGUCCCUGCAACGAAUUGCAUAUAUUAAUAAGACAUUUGAUAUCCAAUACCCAGAUAGUAGUAUCACAAACAGAAAAAUUACAAGGUGUUAUCAUAUAAGUACCUUAUGAAGCAAUCGCUUGCUUCUUUCUCUUAUUUUUAGGCCUGGUUGGGUCAAGGGUGGCUAUGUAAGCAGGAUAAUUCCUUUUCCAAAACCCAGCUUCUUAUAGAAGAAGCACCCUACCUGGUUCUUAUCAAUUUUUGAUGGUUUGCUCUACUUGAGAUCGACGGCAUGAGAUUUUUGUAUAUUUUUCUUCUUUUC
rnacentral:lncRNA from 1 species